GUUUUGUAUUGUUGAUUGUCAUUUAUGCUUAGAAAUAUUUAACCAUAUAUGCUUAGAGGUGUACAAUCAAUUGUGUAGUGAUAGGACUGUGGUCUUUAGCAGACUACAGAGGCUUGGGAAUGCACACCCACAUCCUAGGAGCAUAAGAGAGGUCCUAUCUUCUCUUUGUUGAUAUAUGGUAUAGCAAACACACGUAUAUCUCUUUAAGCAUAAGAGCCCUUUGUUCAGAUGGACCCGCUAGACUCCUGGCACACACACACACACACACACACACACACAGGCAAAGUACUCUUUGUGUGUAUGUAGACGUCAUAUGUUAAUGAACCUAUGCAUAUUCAUGUAACCACAAUAAAAGAGCAGUGUUACGGGAGAACGGAGAGAGCAACUGGGGUCAAGCGAAGGAACGGCGUUUGUCCGGUCUCUCCCGUGCACGAGUAACAUGAAGAACUUUGCCUACUUCGUGUCUUGCUUGCUGUGUAAUUAUAUUGUCUUUAACGUUCCAGCGAAUAGGUAUAAGCUACAAACCUAUCAUUAAUUGGUCCUUCGAUGCAGGAUCCCUGGAGUCGACAUUCACCGAGGGGAGGAGAGGCACGUUGAAAGACUGACGUCAGCCAGGAAGUUCCUGUGGAUUAACUGUCUGUCUUUUCUCCUCGAUGAAUGACGAUCGGCGGGAUUCGAGGCUGUUCAAUAUAUAUAUAUAUAUAUAUAUUUUGUGUGUGUGUGUGUUUGUUGUUACUCUAAUAGGUUCUUUGGUCUGGUAUGACUGAGAUGCAGGAUGUUGAUCAUGGUCCAGAUCCCUACUCAGUCCUUUCAACAGAUCUUUCCAUCCUUCGUCUGUUGCGUGUUGUCUUUCCAAUCACAGGCUUUGCCUGGGGGGGAGUGACUUGAACAGGAACUGGGACGAAGGAAGCACUUGGAGGAGAGACGGGCACUCAUUACCACGCACGGUCUGAGCACGGGAAGGAGGACGCACCAACUAUUAUUAUUGCACAUUCUAGCUAUUGCCAACCUUUAUUCACUGUAAAUAAACUCACUGCCUAUAUUCAGAGCUCCGCGCCUGAGUCCACUCAAUCCUCAACUGUGACAGGAACAUAAAUCCUAAAGUAAAAAACUGAAAAAAAAAAAGUGAUGGUAAUUCCAAAAAG
ensembl:lncRNA